rnacentral:lncRNA from 1 species
GACCGAGCAGUCCUGUGUAAUCCACGGAGCCCUAACUCUGUAAACAUUCAUUUGUUGAUGUGGCUAGUCUUGACAGGUUGUUAAUCUUGGGCUGCGUAGUCUGUCCAAGGUUUUUUUCCCUUCACUUUGACUUAAUUGCACUUGCUUUCUGUGUGGACAACUUGGUGUGCCAGAAAAAUUACAUGGCUUGUCCAGGCAAGAAAAUUUCGCUGGCAACCUUUCAUUUAUUUUUCUUAUUUUUUUCUUGUUCAUUUUACAUUUUGCAUCCAGUCCCACAAUUCUGAUAUUUCUCACUCCAUAAUUCUUCUAUUUAUGUCAACUAACUUGCCAUUUAGUGGGUACAGCAGGACACUGUGGAAUGCAGUCACUUGAGGCAGCCGACAUAUCUCUGUGAUGCAUCCACUCCUCCUACAGCGCAUUCAAGAAGUUGCGUGUUUGGACUUUGCUAGGAAUUCAGCUCAUGAGAUCCUUCUCAGAAAGCAUCCACUUGUGUCCUUUGUUGGAUGACAGAUCAGUUUGAUUUACCAGUGAUUUACUGUUGUGGUGGUGAUGUGACUGUGUUUACUGACUGCCAGCUUUGCUUCUUCUGUCUGGAACAAGUGUAAUGGCAAGUUUAUUUGCUGCCCUGUCAAUCCAUUCAAAUCAUGACAAUAAAGAAAAUGGAAACA